GACCGCUCCGGUAGCCUAGUGGUCAGAGCGUCCGAUUUUGAUGAGGGAGGUCGCGGGUUUGAAACCCGGACUGAGUCA